rnacentral:rRNA from 1 species
ACGUAGGGGGCAAGCGUUAUCCGGAAUUAUUGGGCGUAAAGAGUGCGUAGGUGGUUUUUUAAGCGAACAGUGAAAGGCAAUAGCUUAACUAUUGUAAGCCUUGCGAACUGGAAAACUUGAGUGCAGGAGAGGAAAGUGGAAUUCCUAGUGUAGCGGUAAAAUGCGUAGAUAUGAGAAGGAACACCAGUGGCGAAGGCGACUUUCUGGACUAUAACUGACACUAAAGCACGAAAGCGUGGGGAGCAAACAG